rnacentral:rRNA from 1 species
GACGAACGCUGGCGGCGUGCUUAACACAUGCAAGUCGAGCGGAAAGGCCCUUCGGGGUACUCGAGCGGCGAACGGGUGAGUAACACGUGAGUAACCUGCCCUUGACUUUGGGAUAACCCUCGGAAACGGGGGCUAAUACCGGAUAUGACACACUGACGCAUGUUGUGUGUGUGGAAAGUUUUUCGGCCAGGGAUGGGCUCGCGGCCUAUCAGCUUGUUGGUGGGGUGAUGGCCUACCAAGGCGACGACGGGUAGCCGGCCUGAGAGGGCGACCGGCCACACUGGGACUGAGACACGGCCCAGACUCCUACGGGAGGCAGCAGUGGGGAAUAUUGCACAAUGGGCGGAAGCCUGAUGCAGCGACGCCGCGUGAGGGAUGACGGCCUUCGGGUUGUAAACCUCUUUCAGCAGGGACGAAGCGAGAGUGACGGUACCUGCAGAAGAAGCGCCGGCCAACUACGUGCCAGCAGCCGCAGUAACAC